AUUGAACGCUGGCGGCAGGCCUAACACAUGCAAGUCGAGCGGAUGAAGGGAGCUUGCUCCUGGAUUCAGCGGCGGACGGGUGAGUAAUGCCUAGGAAUCUGCCUGGUAGUGGGGGAUAACGUCCGGAAACGGGCGCUAAUACCGCAUACGUCCUGAGGGAGAAAGUGGGGGAUCUUCGGACCUCACGCUAUCAGAUGAGCCUAGGUCGGAUUAGCUAGUUGGUGGGGUAAAGGCCUACCAAGGCGACGAUCCGUAACUGGUAUGAGAGGAUGAUCAGUCACACUGGAACUGAGACACGGUCCAGACUCCUACGGGAGGCAGCAGUGGGGAAUAUUGGACAAUGGGCGAAAGCCUGAUCCAGCCAUGCCGCGUGUGUGAAGAAGGUCUUCGGAUUGUAAAGCACUUUAAGUUGGGAGGAAGGGCAGUAAGUUAAUACCUUGCUGUUUUGACGUUACCAACAGAAUAAGCACCGGCUAACUUCGUG
rnacentral:rRNA from 1 species